ACAAAUUAGAGCUUGUAAAAGUAUUUCAUUUACAUUGAAACGAAAUUAAUAAUUAAUUAAUUUGAG
rnacentral:tRNA from 1 species